GAUGAACGCUAGCGGCAGGCUUAAUACAUGCAAGUCGAGGGGCAGCAUGAUUGUAGCAAUACAAUUGAUGGCGACCGGCAAACGGGUGUGGAACACGUACACAACCUUCCAACAAGUGGGGGAUAGCCCAGAGAAAUUUGGAUUAAUACCCCGUAACAUAGCGAUGUGGCAUCACAUUGCUAUUAUAGAUUUUUCGCUUGUUGAUGGGUGUGCGGCGUGAUUAGAUAGUUGGCGGGGUAACGGCCCACCAAGUCUACGAUCAGUAGCUGAUGUAGGUGCAUGAUCAGCCACACGGGCACUGAGACACGGGCCCGACUCCUACGGGAGGCAGCAGUAAGGAAUAUUGGACAAUGGACGCAAGUCUGAUCCAGCCAUGCCGCGUGAAGGAUUAAGGUCCUCUGGAUUGUAAACUUCUUUUAUAAGGGACGAAAAAAGGCUUUUCUAAGUCGUCUGACGGUACCUUAUGAAUAAGCACCGGCUAACUCCGUGCCAGCCGCCGCCGUAAAAC
rnacentral:rRNA from 1 species